CGAGUGGGUGGGGUGGGAAGAUCUGGGCUGUGGAAUAGCUCAAUCCUGUCUUCAGGGAGAAGCAGAGAAGCCAGCAAGAGAGAGUGGAAGUGCUCAGGGCCUCUGGAGCCCACCUGAGGACGUGUCCACCAUCGCUUCUGCUGCAUCGUCUCGUCUACAGCAGGUCACGGGCCAGCCCAGAUCAAGGGAAGGGGAGUUAGGCCCCACCCCUUGAUGGGAGAAGCUGUGGAGUUGCACUGCAAAGGGUAAACACCUAGAAGUGGAAGGGCUUAAUGGCUUGAUCAUAUGGCAAAACCAUCACACCUCACUCAACUGGAAUGGAGAUUAGCUAUCUUCCAAUUUUUAAAAAUGACUCUGCAAAAAUAGAAAACUGCCAAGUAAAGGCAAGAAGAUUUUAAAGAAAGCAUGAAGAGCAUGAAUCCUAGAUUCUAAACUUGAUAAGAUUUCUUGGAAAUGGAAGUGACUUGUUGGAGCACAGACUUCUUACUGGGGCCCCUACCCCAGGACAUCUGGAGGUGCUUUCAGGGACUCGGUACAUAUGAAAUUUUAUCCGAGUAGUUCGAGGUUGGGUCUGUUUAGGAGGAAGGGGUGUCCAGAGAGUUUCCCAGAUUCUCACCCGGCCUAGGACUCCCAAAAGUUUAAGAAUCACUGUUUUAGACAAAUAUGGCAACACAGUAGCUGACCUUUUCUCAUUUGUUCAUUCUAGAAAUACUUAUUUUGUGCCUGCUGUGUGCCGCUCUGGGCAGGUAGUGUGACCCCUCAGAUACUGUCCCUCCUCUCAGGUUGGACCCUCAGCCUUAGUGAGAGCCAGUAACUUUCCCACUGCACCCAGGUUAUUUAUUCCCUGGACCCUGUCCAUGUGCUCAGCCAUACCGCCCACACCCGCCUCCAGCCACGCCCGGAACUGUGCUGCC
ensembl:lncRNA